CAUGCUUAGCAAAAUGUGGGUUUAAGCAGAGAAACUUUGUGAUGAGGCUACAGAAUCAGAAGGAACUUUGUCUGGGCAUCUGGGAGAUUUUCAGUUUUUCAUGUAGCCACCAAGAUAUUGGGGUUAACAUCAUCCCAAAUGGCAAGAAAACUGAGGCACAAAGUGAUUGUAUAUUUGAUUUUUGCAAAGAAAUCUGCAGGACACAGAUCAUGGUGUUCUGAUAUUGAAUUGUGGUUGUAGCGUUAAACUGUCAGUGUAGAACCGGAAAGGCUGUUAGAUUGGGGAGGGCAACCAUCGGUGGGCCCUGACUGGAUGUGAGAAGACCUGUCACACUUGACCAGGUGAGCUAGCUCAGGAUUUUUGUCAUUUGUUUACCUUUUUUCUUGUGACUCAUCAAAUUCUACCUUGUUUUGAAGAGGCGAUGAAGGCUGGAGUGGAUUCCUGCAUCAGAAGACUCCAUAACCCGGAGAAGUCCCGUCCUGGGUGGCUAUGACGAGGACCUUGCCCAAGGUGAACCAACCCUUCUGCGAUGACACAGGAUGUCUUCAGAUGUGGGACCUUAAGGAUCAGAGUCUAUCACAAGUACACAUGCCUCAAGGACGGCUACUUCACUCUGCUCAACAGGAUGUGGUCACAGUUUUUUAAAUGGACUUUACCACCUGAAGCCUCAGACUCAUCCAGCCCAGAACCCCCUGUUCCCACUGACUCACAACCACACAUCACAACACUGUACAUGGAUAAUGUUAUGAAAUGCUUUAUAUCUGACAUUUGUUGGCAUGUUGACAUUUGUUGGCAUCAAGUUUUCUCAGAUUUUAUGCACUGCCAUCAGUCUUUGUAGUUUCAUCCAACUGAACUGAAAUUCAACAUUAAGGCUGACUUGUCUCACUCUGCCAAGUUUAGUUCCAACUAAAGACUCGAAUUGAACCUUUCUGUGUUCAUAAAACUUUUUUGCGCGUCAUGUUGGGAGGCCUCCCAGCAGGGGAUUUCUAUAUUCCCCUGCAAAACCACGCGUUACUCGUAGAAAUGCAGGGAUAUCUUGGUCAGUUUCAUACAUGGGAUUGUCCUCAUUGAGUAGGUUGCAGGAUUAGAGUGUGUUUCGGUUCUUUAGGAGGAAACAAACCUGGCAGAGAGACAACUCAGAUUAUUUAACUAAAGGUUGCACCAAAUUUAAGAAUUUUAUCUUUCAUGUUACAAAUUUAAAUUAAUUCUGUGGGCUGAAUUGCAGGCGUCUUGAUGUUCAGAAAAGUGACUGUUGUACAAGUACCCUCUUGUGGCAGGAGUGAGGAGCUGCAGCUUUUAUUUAUUUUUUUGUUUCUUGGAUUGACUUAGUCUCUGGAGCUUUGUGGUUAACUUUGAUCAUGUAACCUUGUAAACAUAAGUGAUCUUUUGUCUCUUAUUUGCAAAGAUUGAGGCUGGGUAAAUGAUAGGACGUUAUGGCUUGCCCAAAGUGGGUUUUUUGAUAGGAUAAUAUCCUAACAUUCUAACACAUUUGAUAGGAUAACAUCCUAACGUCCUAACACAUUUGAUAGGAUAACAUCCUAACACAUUGGGGAGGGCAACCAUCGGUGGGCCCUGACUGGAUGUGAGAAGACCUGUCACACUUGACCAGGUGAGCUAGCUCAGGAUUUUUGUCAUUUGUUUACCUUUUUUCUUGUGACUCAUCAAAUUCUACCUUGUUUUGAAGAGGCGAUGAAGGCUGGAGUGGAUUCCUGCAUCAGAAGACUCCAUAACCCGGAGAAGUCCCGUCCUGGGUGGCUAUGACGAGGACCUUGCCCAAGGUGAACCAACCCUUCUGCGAUGACACAGGAUGUCUUCAGAUGUGGGACCUUAAGGAUCAGAGUCUAUCACAAGUACACAUGCCUCAAGGACGGCUACUUCACUCUGCUCAACAGGACGUGGUCACAGUUUUUUAAAUGGACUUUACCACCUGAAGCCUCAGACUCAUCCAGCCCAGAACCCCCUGUUCCCACUGACUCACAACCACACAUCACAACACUGUACAUGGAUAAUGUUAUGAAAUGCUUUAUAUCUGACAUUUGUUGGCAUGUUGACAUUUGUUGGCAUCAAGUUUUCUCAGAUUUUAUGCACUGCCAUCAGUCUUUGUAGUUUCAUCCAACUGAACUGAAAUUCAACAUUAAGGCUGACUUGUCUCGCUCUGCCAAGAUUAGUUCCAACUAAAGACUCGAAUUGAACCUUUCUGUGUUCAAAAAACCUUUUUGCGCAUCAUGUUGGGAGGCCUCCCAGCAGGGGAUUUCUAUAUUCCCCUGCAAAACCAUGCGUUACUCGUAGAAAUGCAGGGCUAUCUUGGUCAGUUUCAUACAUGGGAUUGUCCUCAUUGAGUAGGUUGCAGGAUUAGAGUGUGUUUCGGUUCUUUAGGAGGAAACAAACCUGGCAGAGAGACAAAUUAUUUAACUAAAGGUUGCACCAAAUUUAAGAAUUUUAUCUUUUAUGUUACAAAUUUAAAUUAAUUCUGUGGGCUGAAUUGCAGGCGUCAUGAUGUUCAGAAAAGUGACUGUUGUACAAGUACCCUCUUGUGGCAGGAGUGAGGAGCUGCAGCUUUUAUUUAUUUUUUUGUUUCUUGGAUUGACUUAGUCUCUGGAGCUUUGUGGUUAACUUUGAUCAUGUAACCUUGUAAACAUAAGUGAUCUUUUGUCUCUUAUUUGCAAAGAUUGAGGCUGGGUAAAUGAUAGGACGUUAUGGCUUGCCCAAAGUGGGUUUUUUGAUAGGAUAACAUCCUAACAUUCUAACACAUUUGAUAGGAUAACAUCCUAACGUCCUAACACAUUUGAUAGGAUAACAUCCUAACACAUUGGGGAGGGCAACCAUCGGUGGGCCCUGACUGGAUGUGAGAAGACCUGUCACACUUGACCAGAGGUGAUGAAGGCUGGAGUGGAUUCCUGCAUCAGAAGACUCCAUGUUGGACACCACAACCUGGAGUAGUCCCUUCCUGGGUGGCUGUGACAAGGACCUUGCCCAAGGUAUUCGACCCUUCAGUGAUGACACCUCUUUGCCACAGGAUGUCUUCAGAUGUUGGACCUUAAGGAUCAGAGUCUAUCAAAAUGUACACAUGCCUCAAUGGCUGUGACUUCACUCUGCUCAACAGGACAUGGUCACAGUUUCUUUUAAAUGGACUUUACCACCUAAAGCCUUAGACUCAUCCAACCCACAAUCCCCUGUCCCCACUGACUCAUAACCACACUUCACAACUCUGUACAUGGAUAAUGUUAUGAAAUUAUUUAUAUCUGGCAUUUGUUGACAUGUUUUUGAUAUCUUUUUAAGUCUUAAACAGUUUUUCCACAUUGUAUGCACUACUAUUAGCCUUUGAAGUUUCAUCCAUUACCAAGUAAACUGAAAUUCAACAUUAAGGCUGACUUGUCUCACUCUGCCAAGUUUAGUUCCAACUAAAGACUCGAAUUGAACCUUUCUGUGUUCAUAAAACUUUUUUGCGCGUCAUGUUGGGAGGCCUCCCAGCAGGGGAUUUCUAUAUUCCCCUGCAAAACCAUGCGUUACUCGUAGAAAUGCAGGGAUAUCUUGGACAGUUUCAUAUAUGGGAUUGUCCUCAUUGAGUAGGUUGCAGGAUUAGAGCACGUUUCGGUUCUUUAGGAGGAAACAAACCUGGCAGAGAGACAACUCUGAUUAUUUAACUUGCACCACAGUCCACACAUCACAACACUGUACAUUCACAUGAAGCAGCACAACACUAAAAUACAGACACUGCUUCUUUCAGCCUGAAAUGAUUAUCAUUGAAUUCCCUGUAAAAGAAAAGCAUAUUAACUGAAUAUUCCAGCUACUGUUAAUCUUUGUUUAGAUAAGCAGGUUGAAUACAAAUCAAUUUUGUUUAUUUGUAUACCCUUUUGAAAGGUUUUAUUUUUCUGCUAUGGGAAGCACUUAGUAGCCUUGUUUUGUAAAGAAUCAUAGUGCCAUUAACACCUGACACAAGUUAUGUUAAAAACAAAUGUAUAACAAGUAGAUAUUGUGCCUUUUUCAACUGGUUUAUCAUGAUUCACAAAAAUUAAAUAAAAUCUCUAA